rnacentral:rRNA from 1 species
AAGCCAGCACCUCAAGUGGUCAGGAGGAUUAUUGGGCCUAAAGCAUCCGUAGCCUGUUCUGUAAGUUUUCGGUUAAAUCCACUAGCUCAACUAGUGGGCUGCCGAAAAUACUGUAGAACUAGGGAGUGGGAGAGGUAGACGGUAUUCGGUAGGAAGGGGUAAAAUCCUUUGAUCUAUUGAGGACCACCUGUGGCGAAGGCGGUCUACCAGAACACGUUCGACGGUGAGGGAUGAAAGCUGGGGGAGCAAACCGGAUUAGAAACCCGAGUAGUCC